rnacentral:lncRNA from 1 species
ACUUAUCGGUCAAAACUCUAGGUAAGUCCGCUUCUUUCUAAAAUGAUCUUUUCUGAAAAAAAAAGUGUUCAAUUUUUUCAACGUGAGAUUAUUUUGUAAACACCUGUUCAGCACUGUUCAUACUGGUCAUAUUUAAUCAUUUAAAUUCAAAUAAAGUUGUUAAUUAUCAUCCCUUUUUGAACAAAGACGAGACAUACAAGGAAAGAAAAUAAAUGUUUUGACCAAAAAAAUUAAAAAUGCAAAAACUGCUAUAAACUAAAAAGAUAAACUGAUUAGAAUUAAUUAACAGAAGAAUAGGCAUAAGGACAAACAAAGUUCUAUUUUGUGGCUUCUGUUUCUGGUUUUUGCCACCAAUUGUUCAAGACAAAAGACCUGUAAUUUUCAUUACAGUAGUGAGAGAUAAAAUAAGACAAAAUUUUAAAAAAUUGAUUGAAGUCCCUGUUGAGUCCCUGAUUAGUUGAUGCAAUGACUUGCUGCCCCAUUUUACACCACACCUCUUAAAUUGCGCCUCUGCCAGACCUUUGUGCCACGCUAGCCACUCAAAUCGCACCACAGGACCUCAAUUUGUGUUUGUACAUUGACAUAACAUUGAAACUGGUGUGAAUGGAGCGUAAAACCUGAUUGCAUGUGAACAUAGUUUUUGGGUUAUGCUUUGACAGAAACUCUUGUGUUCUCCUUUGAACAAGUGAAGUUAUUGAGAUUUUUUUUUUUUUUUGUAGAACAAAGGAUGGAUGCAAGAAAAAGUCUUUCUUCUAUGAUUUCGAAAAAAAUUAAAGAGAGCCCUCUGGCAUCAAAUAUUAUCUUGGGAUUGUUUCUUCUUGUCUCUGAGAAGAUGCUGGACUCAGAAUUUCUGUGCCCUUGCCUUGAGGGAAAAUGGAAUUGUUUGUUUGUUUCUAUUUACUUUUUGUGUCCAGGAUUUACAGUCUCUGUUUUAAUGUAUUUUGUGCAUAGACAUGGCAGUUCCAUUUCCUUUCGUUUCAUCUUACGCACUUCAGUUCCUCUUCUCACAUGGGUCAUCAUACUGUUGCUUGAUGGCCGAUAUGUAGCUUGUGGCGCGACACACUGGCCUGGGAUUUAUGAAGCUACAGAUGGUAGUGGACUGCUGAGAUGGUGCAAACCAGACAACAACUCAUCUGAGAGGCUAAGCUACAUUCAAGAAGCGUACACAAUCUCUCAGAGCAUUGGACUUUUGCUCUGCAUUCCCUUUGGUCUGAGUGUGUCCUGUUGUUUGAUAAUCCCAUCAUUUAAAACAAAUCAGGAAGGGACAAAUUUGGAAUCAUGCAACCUGAAGAUGGAAUCUGCAUCAGCAGAUCAAAUCCCUUCUUAAGAGAAAACUGUUACAAAAAUGACACAUUUGUGAAUUGUUCCUCCACUUAUUCUGUAGAUUGUUAUCACGUGGUCAAAGUGAGUGACAAAAAGGUAUUGAGCCUUUUAAAACAUCAAUAAUAUGAGUUGGAGAAGGGUUACAUUUAUUGGUUAAAAAAUGCUUUUUUUAUUCCACAAUUAAUGUUUUGUAUGUAAAAUCCUUUUAAUGUCAAUAUGCUGGAUGUGAUUCAUGUUUACCUCUAACUUGUUGAUGAUGUUCAAUAAAUAAGAUCAUAACCACAUAUUUUUUUCAAUAAUUCAAUGUAAUACAAACUACUUUCUUUCAGAUGUACUUUUUUUAAAGUUUCAAUUUUUAAAGUUGAAACUUGUUCUGUUUUAUCACUUUUAUUGUUUUUGUAUUUCAUUGCUUUUACAGUACUUUUAUGGUGAUUUUAUUCUAUAUGACUGUUUUUCAUAUUUUACUGUCUUUUAUGUAUGUUUUUUGUGCUUAUAUUUGUAAAUAAAUAUCUUACCUCGUUAGAUCAUUAUGUUGGUUACGGUUCUCAUUCUUACUGGCUGUGAAGUCUUGAGGCUGAUUAACUGCAACUGGACGUGAAAAUCUUCUUCCUUUAAAAUGUUUUGAUCCUCAUCUAAAUGGCACAAAGUCAUCAUUCAGACUAUGACUCAACCUCAAGAAAAAGAUCAAUAGAGACUUCUAAUAUCACAGUCUCAGCAACCACAAUGCAGAGGUUCCAUGUGCCUUCAAAUUGUGUAUCAGCCUUUAUCAAGCUUUAGGCUACAGAUAACUCUCCGAAUGAGUAUGAUGC